AUAAAUGUCCAGACACAGUCUGUCAGACACACACAGGAACUGUUGUCUAGUUGAAUCCUUUUAGCAGAGACUGAUCAAAUCUCUGACUGACAAAUUCACAUCAAGAUGGGGAACAUGCAGUGCCCUGCUGAGGAUGCAGCCCUCCUGGCCUCCGUCGCUCGAGAUAUCUGCCCUUUCCCAAACUACAAUCCUAAUCCGGUUUUCAAGAACAUGCUGUCAAUGAAUUCUUCACUUCACCUGAGGAACCACUACGAGGCAGUGCAGUCCUCUUUUGACCCCCAAGCAGCUGGACGACUUCACCCAGGGCCUGAGGACCACUUUUGGCAGGAAGGGCAACGUCACUCUUGGCGGGGUGGGGGUAGUGGCCCUGUCUUUGGCUGUGCUGUUUGACACUCUUGCCAGACGGGUCAGGGGAGAGUGGGAGUCAGACUCAGGGCCCAUUCCAGGUUUAUUUGUCAAAAGCUUGAGAGGGUACUACCCACCGUCAGUCUCCACAGUCAGCGAGUACCUGAGGCUGGUACCCCACAUUGCGAACAACCCCACCAGGAUGAGAGAGGAGUCAGAGAGGUACUUCAAGCAACUCACAAUCGACAUAAAAACUGUGGAAAACAGCGAGAACCCGAUCUGUGAUGACGUCACAGUGGUUAACCACGUGCUUGGACGGUUAUUUCAAAGGAAUCUGCGCAUUCACCUACUCCGUAUUUCCAACUCUUCCGUUGUAGAAGAUGAUAAAAUGGGACAAACUUCUUGCUCAGAAAUCAUUGUGUUCCAUCUCAACUGCGAUCCAGAGGCAGCCAGCAUAGAUUUUUUGGCUGAAGUACAGAAAUCACAUGACACUCAGAAAGCUUUUAAACAAUGUCAUCCAUCACAGCUCAGCCGAACCUGGUUGGAAUUCAUUGCCGAGCUAGCCUGGCUAGAUGUCAUAUUCGACCAGCGCUUUAUUGCAGAAAACUAUAAUGAAUUACUGUCAGCUCAAAGAGAAGAUUUUGACCUGAAAGCAAAUGCACUCAGAAAAUGGGCAGAGUAGUUCACCGGUCAUCUGUCCAAACAUGCAAGAAAAAAUUUUACUUUAAAAAGAAUACAAAUAAGAACUGCCAUUUAUCAUGCUGCAAAUCUUGUCAUGCUAUUUUUGGUUAAAACAAUUCAGAUCAUUUAAAAUAAACUAAAAUGAACUAAAUGUACUUACUGUACCACUCCCACCAAUGGCAAAUAAUAAUAAUAAUGAACAUAUAGAAAUGCAUAUUUUACAAUAUAAAUAAAAACACAGGAGUGCAUGCACAACUAGCUACAGUAAUAUGCACAUGUGGAUGCCUACAUACACAUUAAGGGACCUACGCUGUCUGAGGAAUAAAAAUCCUGUUUGCCCUCUUAGUGAUGCUGCUAUAAGCCUAGACUGUUGGGAGAUGCACCAAGCUCCUCUCUCCUCCUCUCCUUCUCCAUGCUUUCUUAUCCCAUUUAUACAUGUUAAUAACUCCACUUCUUCACGAUCCCAUAGUUUUAUGCUUUCUCAUCCCUCUCCUCUCUCCUGUUGCUGUCACGUGUAUUUUGGGGUAUAUUAUCAUUUAUUUAUAUAUCAAAGUGACAGUAUGUAAUGACAAUGCACACUUUAAACAAUAAUCUACAACAUAAAUGAAGUUUUUUGUUGUGACUAAUUGGGACAACAUCUUUGGUCGAUUAUGGCAAAAAUCAUAAUCAGGACUAUUUGGGUCAUAAUUGAAAUCACGAUUAUUAAAGGUUCAGUGUGUAAGAUUUCCCCACGACCCUGUACGCAGGAUAAGCGGUUGACGAUUAAUGGAUGGAUGUGUAAGAUUUAAUGGCAUCUAGCGGUAAGAUUGCACAUUGCAACCGUAGGACAGCAGUGGCUGACACAGCACUAAAGGUGUCUCUUCUGAUACAGCAGAGAGUAGCCAGUCAAGAAAUUAGGUUUCUUUAGGUAGAUAUAUUAAUAAAUUAUAUUUACUUAAUUAUUUAGUAAAACCAUGUGUUAUUGUGACUUGACCACUGACAGAUAACAUGGAAAAUGUAAGCCAUGAGUGUGAAACAUUGUCACUGUUUCUGCACCACAGUCCAUUAUAAACCACAUAAUAGAUGAAGUUUACAAACAUCAGUUCUCUCUGUGAUUAUGGCCCCUCGCCAAAACUGCCCGCCAGCACCAUAUUCUGGUCCACAGUCAGAAUAUGGAGCUUUAACAGUGGCAAAAAAUAAAAAUAAAUGUAUAAUUUGAUAGCAGUGCUGUUUCUGGUUCAAGCAGCCUGUAAGUUAUAGGUAAUUCAGUGCCCCUCUCUGGCCAGCUGAGUUUCAUUUAUUGUUAUUUUAUACAGAUUGUUAUUUGCUAAAUGUGUACCAACCAUAUAUAUUUUUUGUCAGGACAGACUCAUAUGAAGAUAGUCACCACCAGUAUCAAGCCUUACUCCACCUAGUUCAGUCAGGAAAUGUCAUAAGAUUUAAAUAAUUCUAGGUGAAUAGUGUAAACGGUGUGGUGAUGGCUCAAUGGAUAAAGUCGCAUGCCUUUGGUGUGAAAGACCUUGGUUCAAUCCCCCACUGUAACCCAUCCACCAUUGUGUCCCUGAGCAAGACACUUCACCCCUCGUUCAGAGGGGCUUGCAACCUCUGACACAGCAAUUGUAAGUCGCUUUGGAUAAAUGUGUCAGCUAAAUAAAUAAAUGUAAUGUUAAAUUAAAAUGCCACAUAACAUUUAUAUGCUUUGGCCAUUAUAUUGAAUGAAUCAAGGAUAUUUUAAACAUUUUACUGAUAAAGGCACUACAAUAUUUGUUGGAUCUCCUCUACAAGCAUCUGCUGCUCCCUCUUGGAUAAAGCAAAGACUUUCAAUCAAAAAACAAAAACAAAACUUGAGCUUUACGCAAGCAUCCCUGCAUUAGUGAUGUUCAAGCUGAGCCAUGUAAGCCAGUAGUGGUGUCCAUCACCUUGCAAUCUUAGCAAAAAGCCAAGAAAGAUACAUACAAGAGCCAUCCAUUGACUAAGAAAAAGGAGCUAACAUCCACUCUAUUUGCAUUCAUACAGGGAAAGAACAUGAACCAUUGGGAAAACAUAUAGUGAUUUAGGUGCUGUGCCUUUUUACAUCAUCUUUCAAAAAGUUUUAAGGAAAUGUAACUGAAGUAGUCAAUGGCAUUUUAAUGCAGCCUAGCUAACAAGAACUUAAAUUUUCUAAAAACAAACAUCCAGAAAGGACCCUUUCGAUCUUUGAUACUUAUACAGUAAACAAAAUGUGGUGAUUAGAAGACAAAGAUACAUCUAGGAAGCAAAGAUAAAACUGGGAUAUGUUUGUGUGCAACACUAAAGUAUGUAACAUGUGUAUCUUGUUUGUUUAAUCCAUAUCCUUACAGUAAUGUACAAUGGAUAACUUGCAGUUUGUAACUUUUUCUUCCAACCAGCGGAGAGGCUCCACACAAACGCUGAGCACAUUUCGUCAUUGAGAAGUAGUUACACUAUAAAACACACUCUAAAACUCCAAAUUGUUGGUUUUGCAUUUCUGUUUGUUGACCUUAAUAAACAAUAGAGACAUGACGUCUUA